AAAUGAGAAAACUCAUAAUAAUAUUCAUAGUUCAGGAUUUCUUCAGAAAAAGCUCCCAGUGAAUAAUGCUUAGAUGCAGAUAUUACAGGAUAAAUUUCAGGCUAUCACGAAAUAGGACAAAGUGAAAGGGACACAGUUCUGGUUCAACGGUGGAAAUAUCUCCCAAGUAGUGUCCUUGAAUGAAGUGGAGAAUCUCAUACUUCCAAUAAAUGGGAAUGAUCAAGCAUUUUAUCUCUGAGCAGUGAAAAAGUAAAAUGUGUAGCAACAUUGAAAUUCUGACUUAGCUGAGGCACGUUUAAUGACUCGUCUUUGCAGUGUAGCAAAGCAAUGAAGAGCUACAUGAAUUCGGCUUAAAUUUCUGCUCUGCUAUUUAUUAACUUCAUGGCACUGGGUAAAACUUUCACUUUUUAAUCCUCAAUCUCUAACACGGAUGUAACAAUGCAUUCUUUUCAGAGCUGUUGAAGGUAUUAAUCAGACAAUAUGUGUAAAGCUCUUUAAAAGCUACUGACACAUAACAAAUUCUUUAAUAUGUGAACUGAAUAUUUGUUUCCAGAAUACUAGCCAUAGGGACACCUAAGGGACAAUGUGAUUUAACACUAAAGGCUCUGAAGGACCUGCUAAAUGAGAAGAUAAAACUUGCAGCAGUGCAACACUGAAAUAAAGUACAUCAACGGCAAGGCAGGGGCAACAGAAUCAUCUGCUACAUCUUGACUCCCAAUUCUGAUGGGAAUUUCCAAUAUUGACACCCUAAAAAGGAUCAUGUAGCUGAAGGCACUUUGGAAUAAUACAAACCUUAAUUCAAACCAUGGUCUGUCGUUUCCUGGAUAUUUGGGGGAGAAGUUCCUUAAUUUCUUUGAAUCUCUGUUACAUCCUACAGUUGCCUGAGGAUUCUGAGUGAAUAUAUAUGGAAGACUUGAUACACACCCUGCACUAAACAAACAUUAGUUUCCACCCCCUGUGUCUUCAGAGAAAAGGACCAAUAAGGAUGUGUGUGUGUGUGUGUGUGUGUGUGUGUGUGUGUGUGUGUAUAGAUAGAGAGAGAGAGAGAGAGAGAGAAUUAUUUUAAGAAAUUGGUAAUUAUUUUAAAGAAGAUGCACUUAUGGAGGCUGGUACGUCCAAAAUCUUCAUGGUGGGCUAGCAUGCUGGAAACCCAGAGAAGAGCCAAUACUGCAGUAUCUGACGAGGUCAGAUACUUUUGCUCUGAGGAGGUCAGUUUUUUGUUCUAUUCAGGCCUUCAACUGACUGGGGGAGGCCUACCCACAUUAUGGAGAGCAAUCUGUUUUACUCAAAGUCCACUAAUUUAAAUGUUAAUCUCAUCCAAAAACAUCUUCACAUAAACAUCCAGGAUAAUGUAUGACCGUAUAUAUACGAGCACAGUGGUACAGCCAGGUUGGCAUAUAAAAAUUAACCAUCAUACCAUGAGAGAUGCUAUAAUUCAGGAAAAUAGUCUUUCUUCUUUCUCUGCAUUCAGUACAGUAUUUUUUUAAGGCUUUUAAAACCAGUUGAGCAAGGGAUGUCUGAGACUGGGCAUAUAGCAAUGGUGGGGAUGGCAGAUGUGGGCCAUUAAACAAUAGAUCCCAGAGGGUAAGUACUCAAGCUUUAGAAGAGGCUCAUCCUUAGGGCACAUUCUUCUGCAGACCCCUUUCUCCCCUCAAUGAUAACCUUCACCAACACCAACUCCUACAGCAACUCUUGAACCUGAUCAAGAAUGAGCUGAUCAUCUGCAAGCUUGUGACUGUCCACUCCUGGAACAAUGCCAGAAUAGUACUUUGCCCCACUAUAGGGCAAGCAUGUGGACACAGAUAAGCAAAGUGUUUACUUCCAAAAUUCAAAAGCAUGAGGAUGACAUAGAUGAUAAAGAUAAGAUUUCUGCAAAGACUUCUCAGAAGAUAGAUUGAAUGCAAGAAGACUAAUGGCUAUAUGUAACAUGGCACAUACCUAGAGAUGAAUAAAUGUUGAGAAUCAAGAUUCUCAUGAAACACAGCCUCAAGGCAGGCUGAAGGCAGAUAGAGCACACAAGAGUCUUUUGAAUAGGAGCCUGGGUGGCUCAGUGAGUUAAGCGUCUGACUUCACCUCAGGUCAUGAUCUCGCGGUCUGUGAGUUCGAGCCCCACGUCGGGCUCUGUGCUGACAGCUCAGAGCAUGGAGCCUGCUUCCAGUUCUUCUCUGUUUCUCUCUGCCCCUUCCCUGCUUUCUCUCUGUCUCUCUCUCAAAAAUAAUAAACAUUAAAAAAAAUUUUUUUUGAAUGGCCAUGCUGAGGCUAUCUGUACUGCAAUGAAGAGCAGCUACAGACCAAGAAGGGAAAGAUCAUCCAGACUCUGACCACGAAAGAAGAAACUAGGAAAUAAAUUUCAUGUUUCAUCUGUACAUAGUGGCUUCAUUAACAAUAGAUGAUCUCCCAAAACCCAAGCCUUUAUCUGGGGAAAAAUGGCUAAAGAAAAGAAACAGAACAUCUGAGGAAUUUGAUAAGUGAUCAAAAUAACAUCAUUAAAUGAAAAUUAAUGUAAUAUUUACAUUUAAUUGUAAGAAAUUGUUAUUAUUUGACCACUUUUAACCUACAAAAAUGGCAAAAGUGCUAAGAGUCAAGGUGAAGCCAAGGUACCAUCAGUAGACAGGCAAACCCUGUCCUAUAAGUUAUUAUAUCACCAUUCUAAAUCCAAAGAAAUAUAGUUGUUAGUUCUGAAAGGGAAGCAAACUUGAAAAUGUUACUACUGACAAUUCAAAAUUAUAAAAUCAGGGCCUUGAGAUCAACAGAACAGCUAGUAAAAAUGGUGCUGAUGCAAAGUACAAUACAUAUCACACACACUUGUGCAAUAGAAAGAACUCUUUCUCUUGCAAGUGGAAAGUUGUUUUAGCUAAGCAAGGACUAGACUCUGUGGGCAAGGAUUAGGGGUUGGGAAGAAACAUACAUGCACAUGUAUAUGUACAUGUAUGUGUACAGGUGUGUUUUGUGAGUGUAUAUGUAGGGGUAUGUGUGUUUAUGUGUGUAGGUGUAUUAUGUGUGUGCACAUGUGUACAUGGGUAGCUAUGUAUGCAUGUGUAUGUGUGUAUAAGUGUAGGUUUACCAUGCUGACAACACAGAGCCUGUUUGGAUUCUCUCUAUCAUCUCACUGUGCCCCUCCCACCCACUCUCUCUGUCUCUUUCCCAAAUAAAUAA